AUGGCGACUGCUCUCAACCGCGGCCUCCGCUCCGGGAUCCGCCUCCUCGCCACCGGCGCCGAGGCCUCCAAGCCAGCUUCACGUGGAUUCCAUGCUACCGGCGUGAAGAGGAUGUCAGGGCACGGCCAUGAUGAGCCAUACUACCUCCACGCCAAGCACAUGUACAACUUGCACAGGAUGAAGCAUCAGAAGCUGACUGCAUGGACUUCAGUGCUGGGAGCCGUAAGCAUUGGUGUCGGUGUCCCGGUCUUCGCGGUCAUCUUCCAGCAAAAGAAAGCCUCCGGAUGA
rnacentral:rRNA from 1 species